rnacentral:misc_RNA from 1 species
UUUGUUUCUCAAACUGAUGUAAAUCUAAAUACAAGAUGCUCUCUUGUAGCUCAGUUGAUGGAAGGCAUUGCUCACAUGACUGAACAUGGAGUUGCACACAGAGACUUGAAAAGUGAUAACAUUUUGGUUGAUUUGUCCAAUGGAGAACCAAAGCUGGUAAUAAGUGACUUUGGUUGUUGCCUAGCAGAACCCGAAUAUGGACUGAUGAUUCCAUACAACACAAGCAAUGUUGAUAAAGGGGGAAAUGCUGCAUUAAUGCCUCCUGAAAUUGCACUAGCUGAGCCUGGAAGAAAUGCAUGGCUAGAUUAUAGAAAGUCAGAUAUUUGGACUGCUGGAACCUUGGUGUAUGAAAUAUUUGGAGAUGAAAAUCCCUUCUACAAAGGCCCUUUGAAUAGCAGAACCUAUGAUGAAAAGGACCUUUCACCUCUUCCUAGUCGAGUUCCAUAUGCUUUACAAAAGUUGACAAAGCUGUUACUGAAAAAGGAUCCUUCAUCUAGACCUAACCCAAGAGUUGCAGCAGAUAUUGCAAUAAUGGUUACUUUAUUUCCAAAGUGGAUAGAUACUUGUGAAGAAUGUCCAUCAGCAGAGAUGAUUAGAAAGAGCAUUGUUUUACUAGCUGCAUCCAACUUGCUCCAACCAAAUGCCAAGAAAGAUAACUCUUUGGCAAGUUUUCUUCAGAGAGUUGAGAUUUCUUCCCUUUCGAAGUCGCUUGCUUGGUUUCGAAAUAAUUGAUAUGGACUGAGGAUUUACAAUCCAAAUAACUUUCGACCAUUAAAGAAAAUUUUAUAAAGACUGAAGUGCUAAUAAAAAUUGUUAUAAAAAUUAAGAUAAUAAAAUUGUUUUUCCGUUACUACUGUACUGAUACACUGUACUUCACGCUAAUUUAAGGUGGUAUGGGACACUUCCAUGUUGUGACAAAUUGUUUAUCGAAAUAAACAUUCAAAUGAAGUG